UUCCCGCAUUGCUUUGGCUGGUUAAUUUCAGAGCGUGUUCCUCAGGGCAAGUCGCGCCCAGCUUGAUUGAGCGUAGUCCUUCGGUUAAGACAACAGCCAAUCACAUUCCCACGGACAUCUUAGCACAACAGUCGAAAAUCCGACUGCUUAUCGGUCUCAGCUGAGUCCAGGAACUUACGCUUUUUUUUCGCUUAGCGCGUCAAUCAUUUCAGCCAAGUCUCCGGUCAGCAAGCGAAGAGGAUCCUUUUUCUAAAGCAUACGUUGCGGCUCACGCUGCCCUCCAUUACAGAUGUACAGGCGCGACCGUAUCUAACCUGGGUUCAUUGCCUGACUAACAUACCUGCUAGCCUGUCAUCGCGGUCGCUGAUCUACGCUCGUUCCCUCACAAAAGGACACAACGCAAUUUCAAGGAGAUCUACUGUCCUGUAGGUUUUCCCUCAAACCCUAACUAAGCAGACCUCAUUCAAUCGAGCUGCCAAUCAGUAGAGUCAGGGGCUAAUUAGCAGAGGUAAAUUAGAGUUGGAAUGGAGACCUGCAGGACGCCGUCACCUGCAGGAGCAGGGUUGGGUGGCUCUGCUGUAUAGGUGCUCAUCGACACUCAACGUUUGACUGAGCAAUUAAGCCCCUAAUUACACAGGUGACUCACCCCACCUGUGUCCCCGGGACUGAAAUGGCUGCGGAUGUUAUGGCUAAAACCGAAAGCCAGCCGCCCCCGCGGAUCCCCCCCGCGGAUCCCCCCCCCCCCCCCGCGGGUCCUCCCCGCCGGUCCCCGGGACCUUGAUCCAUGGGUUUCCAUAGUCUAAAAAACGGCCAUGUUCUCCUCUCAUUUUUUUACUGCUAGACGUUUUGGUGCUUGUGCACCCACUCAGUUUAACCAAGCUGUCCUACAUUGGACAACUACCCAUAAUGCAUUUUUUUUAGCACAGACAUAUCUAUAUCCAGUCUUGGAGAGCCAAAAUGUCUGCUGGUUUUAGUGCCUCCCUUGCAACUAGUUCAGAUUUGGAAUCAAGGAAACCUUUAGCUGAUCAGUGACUUAAUCACCUGUGGGGGGGGGGGAGACACUGUGCCUGCCCCCCCCCCCAGGUUGGGAAACACACCCCUGGAGUAACAUACGCUGGUAGAAACUGCAGCAAACACAAUCACGAAAAAAAAAAAAUAAAACCCUUACGCACCCCUCCUGAUAGUUUUUAAGACCACCGGCUUUGUGCUGCAGUGGAAUGGAAAAGCAAUAGCGGCAGAGAAGAGCGCAGGCAUCAAUCUGGGGAUAUUAAAGUGGAGCGGACUGCGAUAUCAAAAACAACAGCGGAGAUGACGGGGCGGGGGGGGGGGGAGGUGGCGGGUGAAACGCAUUCCGUCUGCAGAUUACGAGCAGCGACUCCGCGCAAUCACAUUACCGCCGAAUCUAACGGGCCGCCGGACGCCGCUGCAACCGUCCUCCUGCUCCCCAACACGAUCCUGACCUCAGCGGUUUUCAUAAGAAAUACCACACCACGUAUAAUAUUCCACCGGGAUGUAAUAUUACAACACGAACAAACCGAGCCCCCUGCCCAGACCCCCCCCCCCGCAUUCUCCCCUCCCCCAUACAGACACACACCUCUCUGAGACAUACUGUACACGUAGCUUGUAUACAAACAUUUAAAUAUUAUUAUUCCAUAAAAGUCGCAGUCAGAUCUGUUAACUGCUUAACUUCCAUUAACUAGUUAUGGCCUACUGAGUAUCUGUCUGUCAAAAUACUACCUGUCACUCUGUCUCACCAUUCUCUCCUUAUCUCGUGGGGGAAGCACAGGGAAGGUGGUGCUUGUUUACUGCGUGAAAUGUACGUCUGUAAGUCGCUUUGGAUAAAAGCAUCUGCUGAUGAUUCUGCAUUCUAAACGGCAGUAACAACUGGCUUCCUCACAAACACACAUUCAUCAGGAGGGAGAAAGAUUUAACCCAGUUCCCUUAAAUUAUUCUUAAAAAUGAAUUCCCUCACUUGAAUUGCUUUUCAGCUAAAAAAAUAAAGAAUAUGUAUGUGACCUUG